GCCGAUUGCAGAUAAAGUAUUGAGCGGAAGGAGAUGGAAAGCUCCCCCUGAGACGGUGACAGGCCGGUACGCGAAGAAAUGAGUUAUCUGUAUUGAGUAGAGCGGGACACGAGAAAUCCUGUUUGAAGAUGGGGGGACCAUCCUCCAAGGCUAAGUACUCCUUAGUGACCGAUAGUGAACGAGUACAGUGAUGGAAAGGUGAAAAGGACCCCGAGAGGGGAGUGAAAGAGAACCUGAAACCGAAUGCUUACAAGCAGUCGGAGGGGCGUUAGGCCCUGACGGCGUACCUUUUGUAUAAUGGGUCAGCGACUUAGUGUUGCAAGCGAGCUUAAGCCGAUAGGUGUAGGCGCAGGGAAACCGAGUCUGAACAGGGCGACGAGUUUGCAGCAUUAGACCCGAAACCGGGUGAUCUUGCCAUGAACAGAUUGAAGGUGGAGUAACAUCCACUGGAGGAUCGAACCCACUCCCGUUGAAAAGGUAGGGGAUGAUUUGUGGCAAGGGGUGAAAGGCCAAUCAAACUCGGAAAUAGCUGGUUCUCCGCGAAAACUAUUUAGGUAGUGCGUCAGAUGAGAUGCCUUCAGGGGUAGAGCACUGGAUGGGCUAGGGGGAAGCGAUUCUUGCCAACCCCAACCAAACUCCGAAUACUGAAGAGCAGUCACUGGCAGACAGACGGUAGGUGCUAAGGUCUAUCGUCGAGAGGGAAAUAGCCCAGACCGCCAAUUAAGGUCCCCAAGUUAUGGCUAAGUGGGAAAGGAUGUGGGACGACCAAAACAGCCAGGAGGUUGGCUUAGAAGCAGCCAUCCUUUAAAGAAAGCGUAACAGCUCACUGGUCUAAGUAAGUUAUCCUGCGCCGAAGAUGUAACGGGGCUGAAGCCAUACACCGAAAUUGCGGAAUUUAGAGUAAUCUAAGUUGGUAGCGGAGCGUUCCGUAGGCCUGUGAAGGAAUGUGGCGAUGCAUUCUGGAGGUAUCGGAAGUGCGAAUGCUGACAUAAGUAGCGACAAAGAGUGUGAGAAACACUCUCGCCGAAAGUCCAAGGGUUCCUGCGUAAAGUUAAUCUGCGCAGGGUUAGCCGGCCCCUAACGCGAGGGCGAGAGCCGUAGCGGAUGGGAAUGGGGUUAAUAUUCCCCAGCUUGCUGGAAUUGACGACUUGACGUAGUUAUUAUUCCUUAAUGGAUUGGAGUGGUAACGGGUCAGGUCCAGGAAAUAGGUCCAGCGAAUAAACCGUACCCUAAACCGACACAGGUGGACUGGUAGAGCAUACCAAGGCGCUUGAGAGAACUAUCUUGAAGGAACUAGGCAAAUUACAUGUGUAACUUCGGGAUAAACAUGCCCUGUGUCCGGGCAACCGGAUGCAGGGGGCACAAACCAGGGGGUAGCGACUGUUUAACAAAAACACAGGGCACUGCGAAGUUGCAAGACGACGUAUAGUGUCUGACGCCUGCCCGGUGCCGGAAGGUUAAGAGGAGAUGUUCACGCAUUGAAUUGAAGCCCCGGUAAACGGCGGCCGUAACUAUAACGGUCCUAAGGUAGCGAAAUUCCUUGUCGGGUAAGUUCCGACCUGCACGAAUGGCGUAACGACUUCCCCACUGUCUCCAAGAUAGGCUCAGCGAAAUUGAACUCUCCGUGAAGAUGCGGAGUACCCGCGGUCAGACGGAAAGACCCCGUGCACCUUUACUACAACUUUGCAGUGGUAUUAGGGAUUGAAUGUGUAGGAUAGGUGGGAGCUUAUGAAAUCCGGGCGCCAGUUCGGACGGAAGCAACCUUGAAAUACCACCCUUUUGGUCUCUGAUAUCUAACCUGGAAUCGUGAAGCCGGUUCGGGGACCCUGCAUGGUGGGUAGUUUGACUGGGGCGGUCGCCUCCCAAAGAGUAACGGAGGCGCGCAAAGGUUGGCUCAAUCUGGUCGGAAAUCAGAUUUAAGAGUGUAAUGGCAUAAGCCAGCCUGACUGCGAGAGCGACAGUUCGAGCAGAUACGAAAGUAGGUCAUAGUGAUCCGGUGGGUUCCAUAUGGAAGGCCCAUCGCUCAACGGAUAAAAGGUACGCCGGGGAUAACAGGCUGAUACUCCCCAAGAGUCCACAUCGACGGGAGUGUUUGGCACCUCGAUGUCGGCUCAUCACAUCCUGGGGUCGGAGCAGGUCCCAAGGGUUCGGCUGUUCGCCGAUUAAAGUGGUA
rnacentral:rRNA from 1 species